rnacentral:rRNA from 1 species
CUGGAAACCAGGGAUUAGAUACCCUGUUACACUUUAUUUAAAUUAUAAUUACCUGGGUACUAAACAGUUAUUAUCUUGAAACUCAAAGGAUUUGGCGGUAACUUAGUCUAUUUAGAGGAACCUGUCCUGUAAUCGAUAGUCCACGAAAAAUCUUACUUUAUCUUGUAAAAACAGUUUGUAUACCGUCAUUAUUAGGUAACUUUUAUAAAAGGCGAAGUUACUAAAAUAGUCUAGCUAAUAUAUUAGAUCAAGGUGCAGCUAAUGGUAAAGGAGGAGAUGGGUUACAAUACACUAAAGUAAACGGAACAAUAAAUGAAUAUUUACUGAUAAAGGUGGAUUUAAGAGUAAAAUAAUUUUAACAAGAUUAUUUGACUUUAGCUCUAGGUUAUGUACAUAUCGCCCGUCGC